UGGGAGGUGGGGACACUCCAGUACAGUAGGUAUCAUAACGUUGGUUUGGGAAGUGGGGACACUCCAGUACAGUAGGUAUCAUAACGUUGGUUGGACAGGUGGGGACACUCCAGUACAGUAGGUAUCAUAACGUUGGUUUGGGAGGUGGGGACACUCCAGUACAGUAGGUCGGAUGCCAAUAAACCCCACAGAAGAAGAGGCGAUGGAGACAACGGUUGACAGUGUCCUUCGCUCUUCCUGUUCAGGCACUGUUUUCCCUGCAGUUCUGUUAACAAGGGCAGGUGUUGGCAGGCUGGAGCGAAUGAUACUGUGUGCUAGCUAGGACUCCGGUACACAGC
ensembl:lncRNA